GUUCUUGUCUUUUUCAUUUCAUAGACCUGGUCAGUCUUUGAGAUAAAGGCCAGAUUUCUCACCAACACAUCAGGCGAUAAGAAGAGCAGGCCGAGUGAACAACUGAUGCACAGGUUUUUCACCCCGUCUUCAAGUGUAGCCAAUGAAAACAGGCAUAAACUCUUUUGCCACGACAUGUGUGAAGGGUCUUAAGCGACUUAAAUCUGCUAAACCUGAAAAGAUGGACCAACGAGUCAAAGCUGGAGUUACAGGCCUGCUUUGACUGCACUGACUGGAGUGUUUUCGAGGCUGCAGCCACUGACCUGGACGAACUAACUGACA